AACUGUUGCCUCGGCGGGGUCA
rnacentral:rRNA from 1 species